rnacentral:rRNA from 1 species
CCUACGGGCGGCUGCAGUGGGGAAUAUUGCACAAUGGGCGCAAGCCUGAUGCAGCCAUGCCGCGUGUGUGAAGAAGGCCUUCGGGUUGUAAAGCACUUUCAGCGGGGAGGAAGGCGGUGAGGUUAAUAACCUCAUCGAUUGACGUUACCCGCAGAAGAAGCACCGGCUAACUCCGUGCCAGCAGCCGCGGUAACACGGAGGGUGCAAGCGUUAAUCGGAAUUACUGGGCGUAAAGCGCACGCAGGCGGUCUGUCAAGUCGGAUGUGAAAUCCCCGGGCUCAACCUGGGAACUGCAUUCGAAACUGGCAGGCUAGAGUCUUGUAGAGGGGGGUAGAAUUCCAGGUGUAGCGGUGAAAUGCGUAGAGAUCUGGAGGAAUACCGGUGGCGAAGGCGGCCCCCUGGACAAAGACUGACGCUCAGGUGCGAAAGCGUGGGGAGCAAACAGGAUUAGAUACCCUGGUAGUC